AGAAGUAAGAUCUGCACCCUGACUCUUUGUUAAAGAGCCGCGGUAUUAUGACCGUGCAAAGGUAGCAUAAUCAAUAGCCUUUUAAUUGGAGGCUGGAAUGAAAGAUUUAAUGAAAUAAAUUCUGUCUCAAAAUAAUUUGUGGAAUUUGAUUUUUCUGUAAAAAAGCAGAGAUUUAUUAAAAAGACGAGAAGACCCUAUAGAUCUUUACAUAAAGGUUUAUAAUAAUUUUUAAGGUAGAAAAUUAAUUGUAACAGAUAUGUUGAAUUGGGGUGAUUAGAAAAUCAAGAAGAACUUUUCUUAAUUAGACAAUGAUGAUUGGUUAUAUGAUCCGGUAAACCGAAAUUAGAUUAAGAUACCUUAGGGAUAACAGCGUAAUCUUCUUUGAGAGUUCAUAUUGACAAGAAGGGUUGCGACCUCGAUGUUGGAUUAAGGGAAAGAUUAGGUGCAGCAGCCUAACUCUUAAGUCUGUUCGACUU
rnacentral:rRNA from 1 species